rnacentral:piRNA from 1 species
UGGUGCAUGAAAAUACUGUCGUAUG